AACGCUGGCGGCGUGGAUAAGGCAUGCAAGUCGAACGAACACUUCGGUGUGAGUGGCGAACGAGUUAGUAACACCUUGGUACCUACCCAAUACUCAGGCAUAACCAGUCGAAAGACUGGCUAAUUCCUGAUAGUCUCGCAAGAGUAAAGAUUUAUCGGUAUUGGAGGGGCCUAGGUCCUAUCAGCUUGUUGGUGAGGUAACGGCUCACCAAGGCUAUGACGGGUAGGGGGCGUGAGAGCGCGACCCCCAACGAGGGAACUGAGACACGGUCCUUACAUC
rnacentral:rRNA from 1 species